UACGUAGGGGGCAAGCGUUGUCCGGAAUCAUUGGGCGUAAAGAGCGUGUAGGCGGCCAGAAAAGUCCGCUGUGAAAACUCGAGGCUCAACUUCGAGCUGUCGGUGGAAACUUUCUGGCUAGAGUCCGGAAGAGGAGAAUGGAAUUCCUGGUGUAGCGGUGAAAUGCGCAGAUAUCAGGAAGAACACCCGUGGCGUAAGGCGGCUCUCUGGGACGGUACUGACGCUGAGACGCGAAAGCGUGGGGAGCGAACAGG
rnacentral:rRNA from 1 species